AGAAGGAAAAUUAUGGAUAGACUGUCUCAUUCUGGGUUUCAUUUAUAAAUGGGCAUCACAUGUUUUAAUGUCACUUUCAGGGUGGCCGCGGGAUACAGUAGAAGGUAUGCAUACUUACCUUACUUCUUCUUAUAGUAUCUUGGAACUGCAUUGUAAUGCCAUUAGUAAAUAGCUUUCUCCAUUGUAUACACAGUCAAUCAAGUUGUAGGGUACUGCUAUAGUCUCUACAUACUGUUAGUAAAUAGGCUUAUCCUCUGUAGUCAUGUCAGUUGCACACAUUAAUGGGUACCCUGUACAGUGGAGCACAGGGUAGUUAGUGAUUUGCAAUGAGAGAUCUUAGAUAUGAUUAAACAUUUUUAAGCCCCAUGUUACAGCGUGUCGUCUUUACAACCAUCUGCAAAGUCAUGCCAAUAACAAUUUCUGUUUGUCUGUCUGUCUUUCUGUCUGUCUAUCUAUCUAUCUAUCUAUCUAUCUAUCUAUCUAUCUAUCAUUAAGACAGAAGAAGUUCAAGUACCAGAAGGCCAAAUAGGAGAUGUAGAGAACAGCUAAAGUACCUGGGGUAUUCCUAACACAUAUCAACUGUGAGGAAUAGGCAAGGAGAAUUGCAACAUCCAAGUAGCUUCAGAGAGUCAGACAGGUCCCGAGUUCCGAACUCAAUGGCAAUAACAAGAUCCAAGCCAUCAACACAUCUGCUCUACCAGUCAUCAGGUAUCCAGCUGGAAUAAUAACCUGGCCAAGAGAAAAGUUGGUCACCAUUGAUGUCAAGACCUGGAAACUUCUCACACUGAAUGGAGGACUCCACCUGAAAUUCACAACCUAGAAACUGUACACCAUAUUCUGUCUGUCUGUCUGUCUAGCUCUUUAAAGGACAGAUGUUUAUGAUAACAUUGACCAUAUUAUCAAAUGAUGUUACUUUAAAGUGGUAAACCUUGUUCAAGAUCAUCAACUGCCUAUAUUGCUUAAUGGAAAUCAGACCUUUAAGGGCCGGAUGUUUCCAUCACAAAAUAUAGAAUCCAGUUCUUGAAUGCUUGACACGUAAUGUAAUAAUAUCUCAUUUAUACAUUUGAUUCUCAAACUGAAAAUAAAAUUUGUGGUCCAGUCUUAAAUUAUUAACUAAAUAGUAAAAUUGAAUUAACGAGGGAAAGGCUCACAGAUGGCAUUCAACUUUUUAGAAGAAAUAAUUUUUCUGCUCACCAUAUGACUCAUAAAACUGUUUCUUCGUAUUAACCUUUAAAAUAAAAAAAUAAAAACAUUAAAUCUCCAGGAUUAUGCCUCAUGCAUGUAGGGACACAUAAAUAUAUAUGAUCUUGCAAAACAAUUAAACAGAUAAAAAGGAAAUACACUAAUACUUUACACACAUCAAAACAUUAACCCUUUAAAAGUCCAGAGAAAACAGGUCGAUUCAGUAGUUACUUGGUUGUAAAAUGGCUGGCUUGGAAGAUUGUUUCUACUCAGCUGGUGAAUAAACUACAGUUCAUUGUUUUUAAAUAAAUUAAACCCCAUGGUGAAACUUAGAGUGCUAGGGCAGUACUCAGGAAUAAGACAUUUCUGUAUUUUUAAUGAAUUUACGAUGGCUGGAUUUUCCAGUAAACUGACCAAGAAGCACAUGGACCAAACUGGGUCAGUGUAAGGCCAUCUCCUUAACAAGAAAUGCACAUUUAUUUCCUUUUAGCUAUUAAUAUAUAUCUCAUUUUGCUAUAUAUUUACAUUUAUAUCCUGAGGCAAAUCAUGGCCGAAGCUACAGAGAAAUACAUUUUUGGUGCUAUGAAGGGCCCAUACAACGGUGCCUUAUUAAAUAAAUAUGGAAGACUCUUUUUCUCUUCAAUAAAUGCAGUGAAAAUAUGCCCUCAAUGCUUAACUGAAAUACAAUAAAGCCUUCAUUGACCAAAUUCAUUGGCCUUAUUGAAAUGCCAGCUUUUCUAUAAAAUUCUAUAAAAAUGGACUUCAUGUAAUGUCGCCUGAGAAUGCGUUAGAUUUCAUGAAAACAUCCAUGGAAAUGAACUAAUUUCGAAAAAGAAAAAAUGACAGCCAGGUAUCUGUUUUUCUAUGGGAUACGUCCAGCAUGGCAACGAACUGCGAGAAUGUAUUGCAUGCAUCCUACUACGGAACGGAUGGAAAAAUUUGGUGGCAGAUCUGAGGAUGUAAAAUCCCCUGUAAACUGAGCUAAAAUGUGUAAAUGUUCAUACACGCAGAGCUAGGGGGAUUCAGAAAGGAACAGGGACUAAUUAUAAUUCCUCUAUGUACAAUAAAUGUUUUGCAUCACUAUUAGUUCACAAGGUCAUGGUACAUGCAAUACCAUACUUAGACUUUUUUUUUUUUUUUUUUUUUUAAUAAACUUGAAUGUCUUCCAGGCACUGUAGUAACUUUUGCUUUUCCUGGCUACAACAACAAAAAUGUUGUGCUACACCCAAUUUGGCUUUGGGCAGGGUAACUCCACUUAUUAUUCCAAGAUUGCUAAGGGGAAACACAGAUGAAUUACUUUACUCGUAAUAAAAUUGGAAAAAUACUGAUUGGGACACAUGGAAUGUCUUAAGAGAAUUGUCUAUACUUAUAUGCAAUUAUGUUUUGACUACCUGAAGAAGAAUCACCCUUUAACUUCUAUCAAAAAUACCACAGACGUACUUUCAUUUCUCAUUGACAUUCAACGACAUUUAGGUAAUAGGAAGUAAUUGUGUAUUGAAUCAAUAGACAACAAAUUCAGUAAAUACAGUAAAAUAUAUUUAAAAAAUGCUCUAAUUAAAUUUGUUACAGAAAAAACGAACAAAAUAAAAGAGAAAACAAGAAAGAAGAGUAUGUGAAGGAAAGCCAUAACAAAGUAAGAUUUGAUUUAUAUCUUUGUCAUUGUCAUAGGUCAAAAAAGGAAUGAAAAAUGGUCAUCAGAGGCAUGAUGGAAUUUAUAAUAGUUAGCAGUUUAUUUAAUUGUUUAACAGGAUUCUACAGCUGAAGGAGAUAAACCAAAACCCUAAUGAUAUAGUGUAAUCAGCAAACCUAGCUAUGGUCUUCUGAGCAGUAGUUUAUAUGCUCUUAUCUAUUUAUCUAUUUAUAUAAUACAAUUCUAGGGAGGACUUGUGAACCAUUGAGGAAUGUUUGCUAAUGUCUAUGAAGUCAAAGAAGUGGGACAUCGAGAGAUAGAGGCAUGAGCUGCAUCCCCCACAAUAAAUUACUCUGGUAGUCCUUUAUAUUUCUACAUGAUGGACCUCCAGCAGGUGAACAGUUUAGAUUUAUGGGUGGCACCUGAAUUGUGGAUAGACAGACACAGCUCAAAAAAACAAUGAGGACACUGGUGAUGCCAAAUCCUUGAAUACACAUAAAGGUUCAAUAUACCUAUACCUGAAUGUGAAUGCACCAAAUGUAGCAAAUCUUACAUUUUAGAAAGAUGUAUGUGUUCAUUGUUAUUGGAGGAGAACCACCCUAAUGUAAUCUUUGGGAGGAUGUCAAUACUGUAUUAGAUCUCCUUCUGAACAGUAGCUCAUAUCAACCCAACAGAGUGAGCUAGGCCAUCACUCUUCCAGCAAUCAGACUACACUUAACUGAUGGUUGUAAGAAUCUACACCAUACUGACAGCGGCUAUAUUUUAUUUUCCUACCAGCAAAGACUUGGACCAUUUCUUUCAUAUAACAAAAUACUGUUCUGAGACUAUAAUAAAUAAAGUCAGUGGACUAAAUGUUUUCUUUAUACCUAACUUCUAAGGUCACCUGAAAAAUUCAUUUUUUUUAGUGAAAUAAGUUUGUUAUUCUUUAGAAAUCCAUGAGGACGGGACUGAUCCCUCUCUAUUGGACAGGUUUAUAGACCCUCAGUUAUCAUAUUCCACGUUAAGAUAGCUUGAUAAUACAUUACAACUACAUAGUUACAUAGGCUGAAAAGAGACAUAUGUCCAUCAAGUUCAGCCUUUCUCACAUCUGUUUUUGUAAGGCAAAAGAAAACAGUUUAAAGGGCUUUCCAAUUUUGCAACAAACUAGAGAAAUAUUCCUUCUUUACCCCAGAAUGGCAUUCAGAUCUUCCCUUGGAUAAAGAAGCUGUUACCCCACAUAUUGAAAAUUAUAUUAUUAUCAUUUAAUUAUUUAUAAUUCGUAGGGCUGUACAAUUUAAGGAAGUGAGCAGCCAUCCAGUUGGAAAUUGUGGAGAGGCAGUCAGAGACAUGUGUCAAGAUGGGUGGAAAGAGAUCAGGUAGAGAGGACAGGUAGAUUUGCGUGUCAUCUGUAUUUAAAUGAUAAUGGAAGCCAAAGGAGCUGAUGAGUUUACCAAGGGAGGCAAAUAUAGAUGGAGAACAGUAGGGGAUCAAGGACAGAACCUUGGGGAACGCCAACAGAGAGGGGUUGGGGAGAAGAGGCAGAGCCCGAGAAAGAAACACUGAAAAAGCACCAAGAGAGAGCAGUAUCUCAUAGACCAAGAUUAUGGAGAAUGAUAAGAAGCUGUUGAUGAUCAACAGUGUCAAAGGCAGCAGCAAGUUCAAGAAGAAUUAGGAUAGAGUAGUGGCUGUGAGAUUUAGCAGCAAUUAAAUCGUUGGGUACUUUGGUUACAGCUGUUUCAACAGAGUAACGAGUGCGGAAUUCAGACUGAAGCGGGUAAAGCAGAGAGUUGGAUUCGAGGAAGUCUGUAAAUCUCACCUACACAACUCUCUCAAGGAUCUUGGAAUCAAAUGGCAGUAGCGAUAUAUGGCGGUAGUUGGAUGCGGAGUUUGGGUCAAGGUUGGGCUUUUUCAUAAUUGGCAUUAUGGUUGCAUGCUUGAAGGGUGAAGGAAAUGUGCCGGAGGAAAGGGAGAGAUUGAAAAUAGAGGAAGCGCAAGAGAGGGAGAUAGAGUGCAUAUGAGAUAUAAGGGAAUAGGCUCGAGGGAACAGGUGGUGGGGCAGGAGGACCAGAGCAGAGCAGAAACCUCUUCUGUUGUAGUAGAUGCGAAUGAGCUUAGUAUAGUGGAGUGAGUGGGGUUGGGUGAUGUAUUGGAAGGGGAGGGAGAGAGGUUAGAGAUCUCUUCCCUGAUAGUAGAAAUCUUCUUAGUGAAGUGAGUUGCAAAUUUUGAGGAGGACAGAGUGGUAGGAAGAGGGGAGCAACAGAGCGAAUGAGAGCAUUAAAAGUGUGACAUAUCUUAUUGAAUAUUAUGUUUUUGCAAGUAUUCAUCCAGUUGCUGUCUAAAUAUCUGUACAGACUGAUCAACUCACCUCUUUAGGCAGAGAAUUCCAUAUCCUUGUUGUUCUUACUGGAAAAAAACAAACAAAAAACAUGUCCUUUACCUUAGCCUAAAUCUAAUUUCUUCCAGUCUAAAUGCACAACCUUGUGUUGUUUGUAUACUCCUGUUUAUGAAUAGAUUUCCAGGCAAUGGUUUGUAUUGGCCCAGUAUAUAUUUGUAUAAUGCUAACACAUCCCUUCCGAGGGGCUAUUUUUCCAAACUAAACAUAUUUAAAUGUUUUAAUCUUUCUUAAUAACUAAUAUGUUCCAUUCCUUUUAUUAAUAUUUUAGCCUGCCCCUGCACUUUUUCUAGUGCCAUUAUAUCCUUCUUUAGAACAGGUGCCCAAAAUUGCACAGCAUAUUCAAGCUGUGAUUUAUAAAGAGAGCGAAAUUAUUAUUUUUAUCCAGAGAAUGAAUGCCCCCUCCUGAUCUGCCUUUUUGGUGACAUCAUCAGAAUUGUGCAGCACUCCCUUACGAAGCACCUUCAGUGGCCAUCUGAGGAGUGGCCACAGGAGGUGUCCCUAGGCUGUAAUGUAAACACUGGGUUUUCACUGAAAAUGCAGUGUUUGCAUGAAAAAGGCUGAAGGGAAUAAUUUACUCACCAGAACAACUACCUCAAGCCAUAGUUGUUCUGGUGACUAUAGUGUCCCUUUAACCAGCACAAGUUCCAAAAAUCUUGGAGCUUGAAUAGUGCUUCUCAUGUGUCUUUACCACUAUAGUGUCAGGAAUACAUGUUUGUGUCCCUGACACUAUAGUGUUCCUUUAAUUAUCUACAACAAUAUCCGUGUCAUGUUGCUGGUUAAGAAGGGUACUGUACGUGCAGAAAGACUCUCACGUUUGCCCUUUUGAACACUAAGACCUCAUUUUAGAAAAACCUGCUCUAACUAGCAUCUAUGUUUUGCCCUGUUAGGAAAUUUUCCACGAAAACCAAAUAGUGAACUACACCCAACACAGCCAGAGGCUGGGUAACUCCAGCUACAAUUCAAUACUGUUAGGGGAAGCACAGACAGAAUUAUUUUCUCAUAACAUCCUGGGAAAAUCUUGAUUGGGACAUGCUAAGUGUCUUGGAGGAAAGCUUUAUAGCUAUUAUGUAAAAAUAAUAUUUUGCAACCUUGAAGGUAUCCUUAAGUAUACAGAUAUUUUGAUGAAUAAAAUCAAGGUAAUUCUAUGUCAUGGGAUCUGGAUGGACUGAUACAUGUUACACAAUCUAUAGUUUGAUUGUACCUUCUGUCUUACAGUUAAACAGUUUCAUCAAGAAUCUAUCUAACUAUGUCUCCCGGAUACAGUCCAGACUUAGAAUUAAUACGUUUUUUUCUUUUGGAAGAAGAGUUUAAGAGAAUAAAUUAAAUGCACAUUUUAAUGCAGUUAUUUCCCUGAAAUUCUCAGUUUUUGGGUGGGGAUAUUUUGGAUCAUUUGGAUCAUAUUUUGAGACAUAUUUCUAUGGAGUUGUAAGGUCAUCCUUAAAUUAUAGGUAGGAUGCUAAACUUGCAUUAACAACUAUGCUGUUAUCAUCUGCCUUGAUAUUAACACAAAAUGCACCAGAUACUACAUAAGUCACAGGGGAUCUGCUGCAAUCCCCUAGUAGUGGUUGUCGGAAUUAAAUGGUUCCUACAACCACUACUUCAGUGAUUUGAAGUGGUCAUGGUGGUAGGAGUUUAAAUGUGCAGAGCUUCUGCAUGAAACUCAAAAUGCACAUUACAUUGUACAAUGGCAACAGAUGUAACAAUCUUCCCCCUUGCAGGCAGCUUAAUCUCAUUUCCCUCUGUGUGGACCCUACAAACCUCCCAUCAUUAAAGAAUUCCCUCCAUCAUUCUCUGCCUCCCCAAUCUUCCCUCCCCUAGCUGGCUCAGGUUGGAGAAACAGUCCAAUCACAGGCCUCUUGAGUCAACAGAGUUAAAGUAACCCUUUAAGUAUCUACUGCUGCUUUACAUAUGACUGGUUAAUACUGCUAUGGAAUAGGACAACUUUGUUUCCUUGGAUAAUUUGUUUGGAUGAAGAACUACACAACCUUUGUACACUUGUGGUAAUUGUAAUACACUAAUAUUGAGUUUUUAUUUUUGUAUUUUCUGAACUUAAUUUGCCUUUUUUAUGACGUAUGUGAUACUGUUUAGUGCAUGCAUGAAUGUAACUUUUUGUUUGUAAAAAAUUGUGCAUUAUGGAAUUUCACUAUCAGGUUUUUCACUCUGUAUCUCUUUAUUUAAGUUUCCAAGAAGGAAAGAAAACGCCAUUGGGCCCUGUGGGUUAUCUUAAUACUUCUCCAUAAGAUAGCAUUAGACUCCAUCCAGUCAUCCAGUCAGUGACCAUUCCUAAUGUUUUCAAAUAAUUUGAUUUAAAAAAAAAAAAAGCUGAAUAACAAUAUGGGCUGGAUAAUAUGUUCAAUGCUUGUGUUCUCAAAUCUAAAAAGGAGCCCAUAAUAGACCUGUACAUGGUGGAAAAGUUUGGAUCGGCAGAAAAAUACAAACGAAUGUUGCGAAAAUGGGUGUAAAAUUAGUGUAUUGCAAAAUAUAUACAUAAUAUAAAUAUUUUGGUAAGUGAAUGAUAAUUUGAAGUAAUAUUUGCAGGCUGUCAGCACUAGUAGUUGGGGGAAAUAGUUAAAUAACCCUUGGAACAUAGAAUGUGACGGCACAUAAGAACCUUUCGGCCCAUCUUGUCUGCCCAAUAGUAUGAGUGUUAGUCCUGUGGUGGUUGGCAGGGCUUGUUAGCAGGAAGAGCUUUUAAAAAAAAGAUUUUAAAAAUCGAUGGAAAAUUGCAAAAUAGUGGGCAUUGACAGAGAUAACUGAUAAUCUGUCCAAAUGUGCAUAAAGAUGGCGGUCCGAAUUGGGCAAUGGGAAGGGUAGGCAAGAGAUUUCUUAAAAACAAUCAACAUAUGUAGCCUAACAUUACACACAAUUAAUGAAAUGGUAAACAUAAAGAUUAUAUAAAGCUAUUAAAAUAACAUUAUAACAUAAAACUGACAUGAAAAAAUUAUGACAGUAUUUAUUUAAUACAUAGAUCCCCCACAUGCUCAUAUACAAUGUUCUAUUUUUUCAUUAAUCUAUUUCUAUUCUGUAUAUAGAUUUUGCAGUUAGAUAAAGAUUACAUUAUACAGUAUAUUCCUAGAAAGGCUGAACGUUUUACCAUCAUGAAUAAAAGGCAUUGUUUUUGCAGAAUGUCUGUAGUAAGCUUACCUUUCUCAAUUCUUCUAAAAACCCACAUUUCAAUAUUUGAAUUCUAAUAACAGAACUUUGGUAAAACACAUAACUGCUUCAUUCAUUACCCAGAAGAGUAUUUGUUAUUAUUUACGUUUCCUCGAUACAUGCUGCGUUAACUUGUAAAAAAUCAGGGGCUAGGGGAUCAUUCUUCCAAACAUCCAGAGAGAUUUAAAGAUUUGCUGAAAGCCCUCUUUAACAUUGACAGAACAACCAUCGUUUUCCUGUCAGCUUGUAUUACAGAUUAAAUGGAUAAAGAAAAGACUACGAAAUGUCUCAGGGUCACUGGGGUAGCCCGUGUCAAUCCUUUGGUUAAAGGAAAUCAAAACAGGGACCCAAAUCCCAAAGGCUUUGGGAAAGAAACUAAGGAAAACGCCUCUAAGUCUCAAUGUGCUCUGGUUACGUGUGAGUUCGGCAUGUUAAUUUGGAUACGUGUGCAGUACAUGUCGUAGUAUAAAACUCCACUUUAAUUGAAGAUUAUGCUAGCGCAGUGUACUAAUAAUCUUAAUUUUAAUAAUGACAGGAGGAUUCAUAUUUUGCAUUAACUUACUUUACUAACUCCACAGCAGCAAAGAAAAAAACAGUUGAAAGAAAGAACCAAUCAGCUUGAGUCAGAGAGUAUAUAAGUUCCAGCCUAGCCAAUCAUUUCCUCUUGACUAGUGCGACAUUACAAGUUCAUAAUAUGACAAACGAGUCUUGAAUCAACUUGAACCAACUAUUCCAACAUGGAAACUUCAUUAGCGUAUCCAAAUGUCUUCAUGAAACAUAAACUUGUUACCUGAUUCCGGUAAGUUCGGUAUCUUGUUAAGCUGAAAGGAGAAAGGAGACUAGUAUCAGUGAUACGGAACCGACCAUAUGACAUACAUGCUUAUGUGAAUGUUGACAAUAUUGACUGUUAAACUAGUUUAUCCCUACUAUCUAAAAAUAAGUCCCUUUCACACGCUAGAAAGAAAACAAAGGUAAAGAGUACCAUAAAACAUCUCACGAUAUAAAUAUAUAAACUAGUAUCAAGUUGUCCCUUGGAAUCCACUUACCUUAUUAGGGUGGGAACUUCAAGAUGAAUGGAGGGAAAAUAUUCGCCUCCUGUCAUUAUUAAAAUUAAGAUUAUUAGUACACUGCACUAGCAUAAGCUUCAGUUUUACCACAUGACAGGAGGCUUCAUAUUUAGCAAUUUUUAACGCUUAGGAAGAAGGGCGAAUGUGGCAUUGGACGACUGACGGAAAUAGAAUGUCCGAAACGUUGAUUCGCGUUACCAGUCGGCAGUUUGCAGAAUGUCUGACAGUGAUGCGCCUGCCAAGAAAGAGGCUGAUGCCGCCGCCCCCCGCACGGAGUAUGCGCCAAAGGACAAUCCCCUUAGAAAACGGAGUACCACAUUCACAUCCCAUAGGUGUCGAUAUUUUGGUGCUGGAGGUCGUCUCAGUUUGAUGCAGUCUAACAGUCGACAGAUCAGGGGAUCUUGUCCUACCGGUCUACCUUGGGACGGCAUGUGGGCUGCUGAGAUGGCGGAUCUGACCACGUUGAUGGUGCAAUAUGAUUUCCCUUCCUCGAAUAUCUUCGAUAGGAAGUUCAUGAUAUCGGGUACAGGGGCUGUAAAGGGAUCCAGGUUCCGCCCCAUGCACCAAUCGGUCCAAGAGUGCCAUGCUGAUAAGUAACUCUUUCGUGUUCCAGGGUCCCAGGAGUCCCAUAGGAGGUCCUUAGUUGUUGCCGAUAGGUUUCCGGUACACCAUGCUCCCCUGAAAGAUUCCAGGCUAUCAGCGAUAGGCGUCCAUCUAGGAACAUUGGGUGUGUCUCCCCCAUUGGGUUUCUGAGUAGGCUGUAGUCGAUAGGUAGUAGGAUUGGAUCCUGCCAAGCCAGUUCGAGCAGGUCCGGAAACCAAGGUUGGCUCAGCUAGUUGGGUGUCAGGAGCGUUAAUCUCACUCCUCGUUGUCGAAUGUGAUGGAGAACCCUCGCAAUCAUGGCGAAUGGGGGAAAGGCGUAAGCUCCUCGUGGAGGCCAUUGUUGGGUGAAAGCGUCUACCGCCAGGCAUUCCGGGUCUGGAAGCCAACUGUAAAACUGUGGCAUUUGGUGAUUUUUGUGGGAGGCAAAUAGGUCCAGUGUGAAGGGCCCCAUCUGAUUGUUCAGGAGGGCAAAUAUCUGUGGGUCCAGUUGCCAAUCGCUGACGUCUCUCCAGUGUCCAAUCUGCCGUACGAUUCGACUCCCCUGGCAGGUAUUCUGCUUGUAUCGUAAUGUUGCGUGGGAGACAGUAGUCGAAGAUUUCCUUCGUCAGCUCCACCAGUGUUUGGGAGCGUGUACCGCCAAGGUGGUUGAUGUAUCUCACCGCCGAUAUGUUGUCUAUCCGAAGAAGUAUACAAUAAUUGGAUUGUCCUUUCGCCAGAUGGCGUAUAGCGAAAAACCCCAGUUCCAGGCAGUUGAUGUGCAUUGAGAGUUCUUGGUUUGUCCAUGUUCCUCCCCUGGAUGCUUCCCCGUCCGUGGCACCCCAUCCUAAUCGGCUGGCGUCUGAUUCCAGCACGAAGUCCGUGUGGGUGCCGAAAAUGGCUUGGCCGUUCCAGGCAUGCAUACAAUUGAGCCACCAUUCGAGUUCCUGAUGUACCUCGCUCGUUAGCGGGACUGGUUGGUUGUACGUAAGGUUUUGUUGUAAGAAGCGGGCUUUCAAUUGUUGCAUGGCUCGGUAGUGCAGGGGGCCUGGAAAUAUGGCUUGUAUCGAAGAGGACAAUAGGCCAACGAUCCGUGCUAAUUGUCGGAGUGGAAUGGAAUCGCAUUUGCGUACUCUGCGGAUUUCCUUCUUGAUGGCAGUCACUUUGGUAGCCAGGAGAUGAAGAGUGCAGGACCUGGAGUCUAUCUCGAAGCCCAGGAAUUGGAUGUUUUGUGUGGGUGUCAUUGCGGAUUUUGCUCUGUUGACUAUAAAGCCCAGGGAUUCCAAUAAUUGUACCGUAUAUUCUGUAUGUUGGAUUGCCAAUUCCCUCGUCCUGCAGAACAAGAAUAUGUCGUCUAGAUAAAUGAUGCACCUGAUCCCAUGAGUCCUGGGAUGAGAGACUACUGGUUUCAACAUCUUCGUAAAACACCAUGGUGCCGAGCUCAGUCCGAAGGGGAGGCAUGUAAAUUGCCAGGGAGUGCCAUUCCAUAGAAAUCGGAGGAGAGGACGGCUGUCCGCGUGAAUCGGGAUUGAUAGAUAUGCGUCUUUGAAGUCCAGACGCGUAAACCAGUCCUUGUCUUGAAGGAGGUCCCUUAGUAAGUGUAUGCCCUCUAUUUUGAAGUGGUGGUAGGUUACGUGGGCAUUCAAUGCUCUGAGAUUGAUGACCGGUCUGAAGUCUCCGGUUUUCUUGCGGACGAGAAACAUAUUGCUGAAGAAGCCUCCCCGUCCUUGAACGGGCUGUGUGGCGCCCUUCGCAUGCAGUUCGCGGAGCUCCAUUUCUAUGAGGUGCGCGUCUGAUGCUGAGAGGUAUAAUGGGUGAGGAGGACAUUCUUGUACCGGGUUCGUAUGUAAUUCGAUGCGGUACCCUUUGACUGUCUGUAGCACCCAGGCAUCUGAUAAGAGUUUUGCCCAAUUCUGGGAAAAAAGAGAAACAUGGCCUGCAGACAUGGUUAGUUGGGACAUAGUUAUGGGUUGUUUUCUUACCUGUGGGAAGUCUUGCUCGGGCUUGCCCGCAACCUCCACGUCCUCUUUCCGUACCCCUCUGAUAGUAGGGGUAGCUCUGUCGAGAGCCUGCGUCCUGGUAACCCUGUUGCGGGUAAAAUUGUUGUGGGUGUCCUGUGCGGGGUCCCGAUUGCCAGAAUCGGCUGGUGGGAAAAACACCUCUUGUGAGGUUGCCACGGAAAACCUUGCGCAUGGAUGAACGGGCUCGGUUUAGUGAGGUGAAGCCAUUAACAUGUUUGUUGAGCUCUUUGAGGAAGGCCUCCCCGAAGAGCUUGCCCUGUGCCUGUGGGCCCAAUUCUUUUACCCCUAAAUCCGCUAAUUUGGGGUCUAUGCGGAACAGUGCUGUGCAGAGGGCCGCAUUGGUAUUCCCGAGAAAACAGAAGCUUCUCUGUGUCCAUUCUCGGAUGUCGUGUGCCCACUCUCUUACCAUGUCCGCAUUAAAAGAGUCCGCCCUGGCAUAGGCAUCGUCCGCCAAAUACAUUACACAGGCCAAGGGCUCCAUCGUGUCCAGGAGCUUGUCUUGCGCCCCUUUUAGACUCCUCUCUAUCCCUCUGCGGGGGUCCCGACCUACCUGCUCCAUGAAUGUCAGCAUAAACUGAUUGAACUCGGGUGUGAAAGCUACUUUAUCGGGUAGCGAUGGUCUUGGGCACUCCGCUCUCAUCUGCUUACAUACGUGCUUCUCUAGGGGCUUGCGGAUCCAGAAACGCAUAAACAUGAGGAGGUGCUCAGGUGGGGCCCAUUCCCCCAAGCGGGGAUGCCGAAUAUUUCUGGGAUCGAACAUCCUGUGCCCUGUGGUGUCUAGAAACAUCUCUUGAUCCUACGUUAUGGUUGAGGCGGAAGCUUCUUCGACUCCUUUACCCUCAGGCACACCCAGGAAGGUCUCCGUGACAUAGGCGUUAGAGCCCCAAUUGCCUUCGUCCGAUGCAGAGAUGUCCGCCUGCCAUUCAUCAGGAAUGUGGCAUGUCUUUUUCCUCAUCCGAGGAGAUGUCCUUAGUGGGCUUUGAUGCCAUAGGACGUUUACUGCGCUUCAGGGGCACCUUGCCUUUGUUGGUGGCUUUUUUAGAUACCUCGCCCUUCCAGUGGCGUUUAGCCUGGCGGUAUUUCUCCUGAGAGGAGUCGUCCGACGCCUCAGAGUCUUCUUGAUCAUGAGGUCGUCUACUAACCGGCUUGCUAGACUGCCGCAUUAAUCAUGUCCUGGAGCUCGCUAGUGUUCUGAUUGUCCUCCAUAGUGAGGGCACUGACAGGCACAGGGUUGUCAAUAGAUACGUGGGAGUUGGAUUGUGUGGGAGGGGAAUAUGACAGGCCGACGGCCGUACAAUAGUCGCCAGUGACGAGCGACAAGCGGACUCUGUACUACUGGGGCUCACCCAGUUGGUCGGAACUGCUUGCACAGAUUCCGUUAGGCAGCACUACGGGAUCUUUUCCAAAUUGGGGCUCACCCCUAGCCAGAUUACUGGGUAUAAAACCUAACUGGCUGUCCCACUCCCUAGGGUUAUAACACCCACCUUGUACACUACAACAGUAGGCACUUUUUCCAGCAGUCAAAGGUCUCCUUGUAUGAGCCUGGUGGUGCUGUGAGUUGGACUUCCCCAAGAGCCUCACGAAAUGGCCACCGCGGUGAACAGGAAGAAAAAAGCCUGCAAAGGCAAACAGUUAGAAAAACCUACAAGCGUUUGCAAGCAGCCGAACGUCUAUGGAAGGAGAAGCUGCGAACGGACUGAAUUACUUAUAUGAACCCAGUCCGUGCGCGUGAAUGCACUGAGCUAUUGAGUGUUCGCGGGUGUACGCGAACGGAGCGCCUUUCGCUCCGUUCGUGCCUUUGCUGGAUGGGCACGCGCGAACCUAGGGCCAGCUUGCUCUAUUCGUGCAGAGAAGUGUAUGAACAGAGCAGUGAGCCCUAUAUGAAAGUGGCAAACGUAGCCACUCGAGGAAUGUGGGGAGGGAAGGGGGAUGAGGCUAUCCCGUAGCGCCGAGGUGAAACAGGGGAUCCCUGGAACGGUGAAACCGUUAAAGGGGUACUCCCAAUAAGUGACCCCUUGCCACCCCCCAGUAUCUGUAUAACAGUUAAGGCAAACUAUGUAGAUAAUACCUUUAACACAUAAACACAGACAAAAAACAGUAAGGAAGUAUUACUCUGACCUGACUUGUGAUGGAGCAGCAAAGAAAGAGGAAACGAUAUACUCUCUGACUCAAGCUGAUUGGUUCUUUCUUUCAACUGUUUUUUAGUUAGUAAAAAGCUGUGGAGUUAGUAAAGAAAGUUAAUGCAAAAUAUGAAGCCUCUUGUCAUGUAGUAAAAUUCUAGGGCCUCCAACAAGGCCAGACUGUGGUAGCUUCACCCAGUGUCUAGAAGUGUCAGGCAUAGGAAAUAUACAGAGACAACGUAUCCCUUAUCUCUUGAACUAGGUCUUGAGCUAGGUUGGAAUUUCAGUGAAUUUCCAUGACAGUCAAUAUGAGGAUUUCAUAAUUACUUUAUCUUUAUGAAAUAUGUGCUUUGCAGGGAGGAGGAUGGAGGCAGUUGUACAGGUUCCAAUCAAAACAAACUAUAAUUUACCUCUUUCAUACUAAGUGCACCCACACUUAUUAUAAAUUGAUUUGUUCAGGAGAAACAGAGCUUUCGUGUCACAUCAAAUAUAUAUAUUAAAUUAUGUUUUGCUCUUUAUUUCCAGUUUGGGGGACUGCUUGACAAACCAGUCAGUCCCCCUGCAGCCAAUGCUUUAGACAAAGGGUCAGAUUUGCUGCUGGGGGACUGUCUGGGUUAUCAGGUAGACCCCCCAAUCGGGAUCGCAGGAUGCAAACAAUUACAAUGUUCAAUGCUUUUAAGCCCAUUUAAAGCAGGAUGGCAUUGAAUGCAGUAAAGGCAUUAAGGGGCUACAAAAGAUUUGCCAAAUUAUAAAGUUAGAGAUAAGAACAGAGUUGUAAAUAAAUAACAUUUCUGAAUAUGUAGCAUAGACAUAUUUCCUCCAUGUUCCAAUGACAUCCACGCUUUAGCUGCCUCACAGACAGCAUGCCGUCUUCAAUGAUUCCAUCUUGCCUUCCAUACACUGCGUGUUUCCAGUGCCAGAGGAUGCAAAGCAGCCCCAGAGCAUCACCUAUUCACCACCACGCUUAACUGUAGGCAGAGUUUUGUUUUCACAGUAUGCUUCAUUUCUUCUUUUCAGAUUAUGCUUCAUUCUUCUUCCUCCAGAUAUAACGCUGAUCCAUUGGGCUAAAAAUAUCCAGUUUUGUUUCAUUGCUCCACAGAACAGAAUUCCAAAUAUUCUGUGGCUUAUUUAUAUGAUUUCACUUGUGCUUUUUGGUCAGUAGUGGUGUAUGUCUUAGAGUUCUGGCAUGGAAACCUUCUGCAUUUUGUAUGCGCCUUAAUCUGCUCACUGAAACCUCAGUGCCUGUUUCUACCAAGUUUUGCUGCAGGUCUUUUGGAGUCACUUGAGGGUUUUUCACAACCUGUCUUCUCAGAAAUCUGAUUGUAGCCAUUGAUAGCUUCCUUUUUUUACCCGGUCCAUGUAGUGUAACCACUGUUACUUCAUCUUUGAACUAUGCUUCCAACGGUGUCUCUAGGAACAUUCAGUGCCGUCACUAUAUUUAUGUAUCCUAUUCCUUGUUUGUGAAGGGUGAUGAUCUUUUCUCUUCUUUAGCCAGUUCAGGUACUUUAAGUGUUCCAGCUCAAGCUCACCUGAUGCAACUAAUGAAUGCCCCUCAGAUAGUCUAACAGAGCUUUAACUAUCAGCUCCACUCUCUAUCACUCCUCUACCACGUGUGAUAGAAAAUGGCUGAUCGCAGGGCUAGCUGACAACUGGACAGGCUGGCUGUUGGCUGAAAAGGGGUCUCUCACAGACAAGCUAAGUGGCUGGCUGAUGGCAGGGCGAGAGGCAGGGUGGGCGCCAGGGUGGGCUCUGAUGGCACGGCGUGCUGACAGCAAGGCAUGCUGAUGGCAAGGCGGCUGAUGGCAGGUGGGCUUAAGAUCGCGCUCCCGCAAUCUCUUAUGGGAUCGCUGUGGUGUGAUCUCUUAUGAGAACGCUGUUGCGCAAUCUCUGCUGUUUCCGACCUUCCGGGAACAGCAGGUAGCGGCGGCCAUCUUGGCUCGCAGAACCCUAGGGUUGGAACACCAAUUGGGAAAUGCUGUUAAAUGGUAUCCAUUAUCAUACAAAAUUUCAGACUGAGUCAAAAAAAGGAGCACAGAAGCAAACAUUGUAAUGUUUAUCACAAACCCAUAGGAGUAAGGAGACAGCAUUGAGAUGCUGAGAAGUACAUGGAUCCCUUAGUCUCUUAUGUAUUAAACUACUGAUUCCUUUAUAUUGCAGCCUGUUCUGCAAGUUAAUUACCUCUCCAUUUGCCUCAUUCCCUCUCACCCCAUUGAGCCUUCAUUAACCCCCUUCGCACCCCACCCAGCCCUCAUUAUCCCCCCUCACCACACAUCCAGCCCUCACUCUGUCUCCAACCCACCAUCCAGCCAUCAGUAACCCACAUUACCUCACAUCCAGCCCACAUUUAUCCCCCUCACCCCACAUCCAGCCCUGUAGCGUGGCCGAGCGGUACCCAGUCUGACAGGAAGUGCCCUCUCAGUGAGCACUUCCUGUCAGCCAUGGUGCUUGGGCGCACUACAUACAUAGAGACCGGCAGGAAGGGAGCAGCACAGUGCUCCCCUCCCGCCGGUCACUCAGCGACCGCGGGGCCAAGACCAGCGCGACAGUGCACUUGUAAAGUUGUGGUGACCCACGGUCACAUGGGUCGCAGCUGUGGCUGGGCUCCAUGGAGUGAUCUGCGACCCCUGCGACCAUUGUAGGUAUGUCACUGGUUAUCAGCUACCCUUCCAAACCCAGACAUGCUGUCUAAACAAUUAAACUAGUAAUCACAGGGUGGUACCAAGAUCUGGGUGGAUGGAGGUUUACUUAUUGACUUUCUGAGCAGACAUGAAGUUCAUUCAGGAGAAGGGAGACUAGUAGGUUUGGUGUUCCAGAAGAUAAUGGGUUUUCCUUACAUAGAUGUGAUGGCAGUGGUUUUCAACAGGAGUCCAAUAGGUUCUUUCCUUUUUCCUCAUGCAUGGAAGGGGUGGAUGACCCAUCUUGUGUUUGGUGAAUCCAAAGGGGCUAUAUAUUCUCUUAUUUCCCCUAAUAUCUAAGCUCCUUCAAAGGAUUUAUUGAAGGAAGAUGGACAUAUUGGCCAGUUUUCCCACAUUGGCCCUUCUUUCCCUUGUUGAUAUGCCUCUCCUUGAAACUUUAAAUAGUGAAGCUGUCAAUAUAUCAACAACAGGGCAAUAGUAAACCAUACAAGGAUCACAUUGAGGGCAAGGAAAACCUAGUUAAAUAAAUCCAGUCUAGUUCUGUCCUAUAAUGCGUGAACUAUUGACUUUAACAUCAGCAGUAAAUCAUAACGUGCGUGUUUCCUAUAAAUUGUGCAAUUCAUUAGUUAAAACUUUGGCAAUUUAGCUCAUGAUUAUGAGCUUAUGAAUAUUCAUUCAUUUUCCAUACUCUCACAUAAACAUUAUGAAUGAUAAUUAAUUCCCAUGUCAACUCUUUUGCAACUGUUUCACAGUUCAACUGUGAGAAAUUUCAAGCCAGUAAUGAAUAUGUCCCUUGGGUGUAUGUAUAUCAUUGGAAGGGAAGUGAAGGGUGCCCUCUGCCCUAUGGAGCCAGCAUUCAGUGUAUUUAAAGUGCCACAGAGAACUAUCUACAUGUUUUAUAGGGUAUGUACAACUGGCGGAAACUAAAGUCUUUAAAAAUGAAAAUUGCAAGAAAACAAAACUAAACAAAAACCAUUUUUUCGACAAAUAUUGCACAGUGUAACUGAAUAAUUUUCUGUUAUUUUUCUUUAAACAUUGUCUGAAGGCAAUUCAGAUAAAUUAAUUGUACAUUUUAAUUAAAGUACGACCAAAGACUUUUGAGUGUUGAGCUGCGAAUUAGACAGAUAUUUCCAGGGAACAUAGCACUGCUUAACAUCUCGACAGUGUGUUAACUCCAGUAAAAUUAGAAAAUUGUAUAAAUCCUUAGCCCCUGAGACGAAAUGUAUCCGAAUCUCAAACCAAAAGAAAGGCGCAAUGGACGAGCAUGUUUGUUUUAAUUUGUGAUUUGGAAUUUUGCCCCAAAUAAAGAGAUAAUUAAUGGGAAAGAUGAGGAUUUCUGGUCAGGGGACAGCCACUAAAUGUUUAUUUUUAUUCACAGAUGAAGUGGGAAGUGGCCAAUAGCGAGGAAAAAA